CCCUUAGAUGUUCUGGUCCGCACGCGCGCUACACUGACGAAGUCAGCGAGCAUGUCCUACGCCGACAGGUGCGGGGAAUCUUGUCAAACUUCGUCGUGAUGGGGAUUGAUUAUUGAAAUUCUUGAUCAUCAACGAGGAAUUCCUAGUAAGCGCAAGUCAGCAGCUUGCGUUGAUUACGUCCCUGCCCUUUGUACACACCGCCCGUCGCUACUACCGAUUGAAUGGUUUAGUGAGAUCUUCGGAUUGGCGCCACUGCGGCUCAGCAAUGGGCUCGGUGGAUGCCGAAAAGUUGAUCAAACUUGAUCAUUUAGAGGAAGUAAAAGUCGUAACA
rnacentral:rRNA from 1 species